rfam:Dipodomys ordii ctg_broad_rename0001705, whole genome shotgun sequence.
GGGAAUGUGGCUCAGUGGUAGAGCACUUGCCUUGCAUGCAUGAGGCUUGGGUUCGAUUCCUCAGCACCA